rnacentral:rRNA from 1 species
GACGAACGCUGGCGGCGUGCCUAAUACAUGCAAGUCGAACGCAGUGGGGACGGGUGCGUAACACGUGGGUAACCUCCCCAUCAGAGGGGAUAACACUUGGACACAGGUGAUAAACCGCUAGUGAUGGAUGGACCCGCGGUGCAUUAGCUAGUUGGUUGGGUAACGGCUCACCCAGGCCACGAUGCAUAGCGGACUUGAGAGGGGGAUGGGACACACUGGGACGGAGACACGGCCCAGACUCCUACGGGAGGCAGCGGUAGGAAAUCUUCGGCAAUGGACGAAAGUCGGACAGCGCAACGCGGGGGGAGUGAAGAAGGUUUUCGGAUCGUAAAACGCUGUUGUUAGAGAAGCGGUAUCUAACCAGAAAGCCACGGCUAACUACGUGCCAGCAGCCGCGGUAAUAC